rnacentral:rRNA from 1 species
AUUGAACGCUGGCGGCAGGCCUAACACAUGCAAGUCGAGCGGAUGAAGGGAGCUUGCUCCUGGAUUCAGCGGCGGACGGGUGAGUAAUGCCUAGGAAUCUGCCUGGUAGUGGGGGAUAACGUCCGGAAACGGGCGCUAAUACCGCAUACGUCCUGAGGGAGAAAGUGGGGGAUCUUCGGACCUCACGCUAUCAGAUGAGCCUAGGUCGGAUUAGCUAGUUGGUGGGGUAAAGGCCUACCAAGGCGACGAUCCGUAACUGGUCUGAGAGGAUGAUCAGUCACGCUGGAACUGAGACACGGUCCAGACUCCUACGGGAGGCAGCAGUGGGGAAUAUUGGACAAUGGGCGAAAGCCUGAUCCAGCCAUGCCGCGUGUGUGAAGAAGGUCUUCGGAUUGUAAAGCACUUUAAGUUGGGAGGAAGGGCAGUAAGUUAAUACCUUGCUGUUUUGACGUGACCAACAGAAUAAGCACCGGCUAACUUCGUG